rnacentral:rRNA from 1 species
GACGAACGCUGGCGGCGUGCUUAACACAUGCAAGUCGAACGGAAAGGCCCUGCGCUUGUGGGGUGCUCGAGAGGCGAACGGGGGAGUAAAACGUGAGUAAACUGUCCUUGAAUUUGGGGUAACUUCAGGAAACUGGGGCUAAUAUCGGAUAGGAGCUCCUGCUGCAUGGUGGGGGAUGGAAAGUUUCGGCGGUUGGGGAUGGACUCGCAGCUUAUCAGCUUGAUGGGCGGGUAGUGGCUUACAAAGGCUUUGAAGGGUAGCCGGCCUGGGAGGGGGACCGGCCUCAUUGGGACUGCGAUACGGCCCAGUCUCCUACGGGAGGCAGCGGUGGGGAAUAUGGCACAAUGGGCGGAAGCCUGAUGCAGCAGCGCCGCGUGCGUGAUGACGUCUUUCGGGUUGUAAACCGCUUUCUCCUGUGACGAAGCGUGAUUGACGGUAAUGGGUAAAGAAGCACCGGCUAACUACGUG